UUCUAUUUCUUCUGCGUUUCCCCAAAUCUGGGCCCCUCCUGUGUCGUCAGUACAAACCCUGAAUCCUGCCUCUGACCUGACAGUUGAGCCCUACAUGGACACUGUUCCGAUGACCGCAAGCCCCUCCACCUUCUUCACAGGGAAAUCCCCGAUGAUGAAGAGAGGCGCGGCGGGCCGUGGGCGGCUCCUAAGGUCCGAGCGUCCACUCCUCCGGCGCCGGCCUCGGUUGGUGCUUCCCGGGGCUCGGACAUCAACCCGCCGGGCCGCGCCCGGUGCUGCAGUCCUUCGCCUUCGGGCUCAUGGUCCGCCUCGGCUGCCUUCAGUUUUCUCCUCGCCAUAUUCGACCGCACCUGGGUCUCUUGGGACCCUAAUCGCUCUCAAUUGAUCGCUGAAUGGAGUACAGGAGAAAUAAACAUUGCCUAUAACCGAGGAUCAUUCAUUCGGUCCAUGAAAUCUUACCUUUUGACAUCCCAAGUAUCAGCUUAUGGAUGGAAUUGCUCUAUAUGUUACACCAGAUACUAUCAUGAAGGAUAAAUCAGAUUGAUCCAGCAAUUGUAUUGGCGAACCAUGAGAGGCCUCCAUUGUACUGUUUUCUCGAAGCUCCAUGGUUCAACUUCACCAGAGACAGGGAUUAGAUUACCAGUUACAACAUAUGUAUCCCUCAAAAUUACAGGCAUGUAAACUCAUUGAGCUAUCGGCAAUUCUCCAGGCUUCUUCAACACAUUAUAUCCAGUUCUAUUUCCAGAAAAUUUCAUCCUACAAAUGAGAUGGCAGACUGUGGCUGACAGACCUCAGAUUAUUUUAAGUUCAUGCAACUUGAUGAUGGAGCCCGGAAACAGUUUGUAAAGGCCAUCAUUUUCCACUAUUUCAGAGAUACUUGUUAUGAUUCAACUCCCCACGCAUCUCUUCCUUCUUGCAAUCGGCAUCAACCAUGGCGAACUCUUAACAGAGAUUUGGAGGAAGAAGAUGGCGAGAACUUCAGACAUAAGCUUGGAUUAGGAGGCAGCCCCGAGGGAACAAACAAAGGAAUCUCUAAUUAUAUGUGUUCAUGCUGGAAGAGCUGCUUCCGAGUCUCGAUUACUUCUACUUCAGCCCCAUCACUGCGCAUGCUUCACCCCCCUCACGCAAGCUCUGCUUUUCCAUGGCAAAAGUAGCAGCACCUUUUGCUGCACAGCUUGUUGUCCAUUGAGAGCUUUUACCUGACAAGAAGACCUGAUAAGACUGGUUUUAUUCACUCCAUGCUUGAGUUCUCCCCAUCUCUGAGACAGCCUGCAACAGGAAAAUCAUUGUCAUCCAUGGAUGACACACACACGCAUAGCCUACUGAGAGUAAAGAAACAACUUAGAUCGAGUUGAACCAGCAGUUACAAGUUCUGAAAUCUCAUGGGGAAAACCCUUCUUUCCUGCUAGCCAUUGUCCUUGCACACUGCAACUUACUCCAUUGGCAUAUCAGAGUUCAGGCAACUUGUAGUCGUUCAGUCAUAUGGGGAAUGCAUCCAAUGACAGAGGAAGAAGAAGAGACUGUUAUUGUUCAGUCCUAGGGAGUACUCUGAUGUGAUCCUUUUCUGCUUGCCUAUUUACACAAGACACAUGAGAGCCUGACAAUUUUACCCAAA